AUGAUAGCAUAUUACCGCUUUAUUUACUUUUUAAAAAAUAAACUAAGUUAAAAAUAUAAAAUAAUUAGACUUCAAACUUAAAAUCUCCGAUACCAACCAUCAAACGCUUUUCAAAAGAUAAUGGAAUAUUCAAUAGAAGCAAUAGUGACCACUUAAAUAUAAUUCUACAUAGAUAAGAAUAGCCAUGCACUCAAAUGCCAUAGUCGGGACACUAAUAUUUAUUUUUCUGAGAGAUAGAUAGCAUGCUAUCCGUUUUGUUUAUUUCAUUUAGAAAUGAACUUAACUAUAAAUGUGAAUCAACUAAAAUUCGAACUUGAGACCCCGGAUAUCAACCACCAAGUCAUUUGCUCCUUGCGCUAGGAACGGUUGAUAAUAUUGUUCUACAAAGAGAAAAG
rnacentral:lncRNA from 1 species